UACGUAGGGUGCAAGCGUUGUCCGGAAUUAUUGGGCGUAAAGAGCUCGUAGGCGGUCUGUCGCGUCUGCUGUGAAAAUCCGGGGCUCAACCCCGGACUUGCAGUGGGUACGGGCAGACUAGAGUGUGGUAGGGGAGACUGGAAUUCCAGGUGUAGCGGUGAAAUGCGUAGAUAUCUGGAGGAACACCGGUGGCGAAGGCGGCAUCCUGGACCGGUAUUGACGCUGAGGCGCGAAAGCUAGGGGAGCAAACGGG
rnacentral:rRNA from 1 species